UACGUAGGGGGCAAGCGUUGUCCGGAUUUAUUGGGCGUAAAGAGCGUGUAGGCGGCCAGGUAGGUCUGCUGUGAAAACUCGAGGCUCAACCUCGAGACGUCGGCGGAAACCAUCUGGCUAGAGUCCGGAAGAGGAGAGUGGAAUUCCUGGUGUAGCGGUGAAAUGCGCAGAUAUCAGGAAGAACACCUAUGGCGAAGGCAGCUCUCUGGGACGGUACUGACGCUGAGACGCGAAAGCGUGGGGAGCGAACAGG
rnacentral:rRNA from 1 species